UACGAAGGGGACUAGCGUUGUUCGGAUUUACUGGGCGUAAAGCGCGCGUAGGCGGAUCGCUAAGUCAGGGGUGAAAUCCCAGGGCUCAACCCUGGAACUGCCUUUGAUACUGACGAUCUGGAGAUCGGGGAGAGGUUGGUGGAAUUCCGAGUGUAGAGGUGAAAUUCGUAGAUAUUCGGAGGAACACCAGAAGCGAAGGCGGCCAACUGGCCCGAUACUGACGCUGAGGCGCGAAAGCGUGGGGAGCAAACAGG
rnacentral:rRNA from 1 species